GUUUUAAUAGUUUAAAUAAAACACUGGUCUUGUAAAUCAGAAUUGAAGUUUCAAUCUUCUUAAAGCA